UACGAAGGGGGCUAGCGUUGCUCGGAAUCACUGGGCGUAAAGAGUGUGUAGGCGGUGCUCCAAGUCUGGUGUGAAAUCUCCCGGCUUAACUGGGAGGGUGCAUUAGAAACUGGAAUGCUAGAGGAUGGGAGAGGUAAGCGGAAUUCCUGGUGUAGCGGUGAAAUGCGUAGAUAUCAGGAGGAACACCUGUGGUGUAGACAGCUUACUGGACCAUUUCUGACGCUGAGACACGAAAGCGUGGGUAGCAAACAGG
rnacentral:rRNA from 1 species